rnacentral:rRNA from 1 species
CACGUAAGGGGCGAGCGUUGUCCGGAUUUAUUGGGCGUAAAGAGCUCGUAGGCGGCUCAGUAAGUCAGGUGUGAAAACUCCAGGCUCAACCUGGAGACGCCACCUGAUACUGCUGUGGCUAGAGUCCGGUAGGGGAGCAUGGAAUUCCUGGUGUAGCGGUGAAAUGCGCAGAUAUCAGGAGGAACACCAGUGGCGAAGGCGGUGCUCUGGGCCGGAACUGACGCUGAGGAGCGAAAGCGUGGGGAGCAAACAGG